UACGUAGGUGGCGAGCGUUGUCCGGAAUCACUGGGCGUAAAGGGCGCGUAGGCGGCCUGAUAAGUAGGGGGGUGAAAUCCUGCGGCUUAACCGCAGGGCUGCCUUCUAAACUGUCAGGCUGGAGCACAGUAGAGGCAGGUGGAAUUCCCGGUGUAGCGGUGGAAUGCGUAGAGAUCGGGAAGAACAUCAGUGGCGAAGGCGGCCUGCUGGGCUGCAACUGACGCUGAGGCGCGAAGGCUAGGGUAGCAAACAGG
rnacentral:rRNA from 1 species